rnacentral:tRNA from 1 species
AGCUCAGUGGUAGAGUACUUGCCUUGAAUGCAUGAGGCCCUGGGUUCAAUUCCUCAG